GACGAACGCUGGCGGCGUGGAUUAGGCAUGCAAGUCGAACGGUAUCAUCCUUUCGGGGGUGAGAGAGUGGCGAACUGGUGAGUAACACGUAGGUUAUCUACCCUCAAGACGGGGACAACCCAGGGAAACUUGGGCUAAUACCGGAUGUGAGCAACUUUUAGUUGUUUGAAAGGUGGCGUAAGCUGUCGCUUGGGGAUGAGCCUGCGUCCUAUUAGUUAGUUGGUGAGGUAACGGCUCACCUAGGCAAUGAUAGGUAGGCGGCCUUAACGGGUGGUCGCCCACACUGGGAUUGAGAUACGGCCCAGACUCCUACGGGAGGCAGCAGUCGAGAAUAGUCUACAAUGGUCGGAAGACUGAUAGUGCGACGCCGCGUGAACGAUGAAUCCCUUCGGGGUGUAAAGUUCUUUUAUAUGUGAGCAGUGCUUCUUAUAUUAACAGUAUGGGGAGAGAGAUAUUAGCAUAUGAAUAAGCAACGGCUAACUCCGUGCCAGCAGCCGACGGUAACUCG
rnacentral:rRNA from 1 species